rnacentral:rRNA from 1 species
UACGUAGGGUGCAGGCGUUAAUCGGAAUUACUGGGCGUAAAGCGUGCGCAGGCGGUUUCUUAAGUCAGAUGUGAAAGCCCCGGGCUUAACCUGGGAACUGCGUUUGAAACUGGGAGACUUGAGUGUGGCAGAGGGGGGUGGAAUUCCACGUGUAGCAGUGAAAUGCGUAGAUAUGUGGAUGAACACCGAUGGCGAAGGCAGCCCCCUGGGUUAACACUGACGCUCAUGCACGAAAGCGUGGGGAGCAAACAGG